CAGUAGCCGCGGUAAUACGAGGGGUGCAAGCGUUACUCGGAAUUACUGGGCGUAAAGCGUGCGUAGGUGGUGGUUUAAGUCCGUUGUGAAAGCCCUGGGCUCAACCUGGGAAUUGCAGUGGAUACUGGGUCACUAGAGUGUGGUAGAGGAUAGUGGAAUUUCCGGUGUAGCAGUGAAAUGCGUAGAGAUCGGGAGGAACAUCAGUGGCGAAGGCGGCCAUCUGGGACAACACUGACGCUGAGGCACGAAAGCGUGGGGAGCAAACAGGAUUAGAUACCCCCGUAGUCCCUGUCUCUUAUAC
rnacentral:rRNA from 1 species